rnacentral:rRNA from 1 species
UACGGGGGGGGCAAGCGUUGUUCGGAAUUACUGGGCGUAAAGGGUUUGUAGGUGGCUUGCUAAGUCAGACGUGAAAUCCCUCAGCUUAACUGGGGAACUGCGUCUGAGACUGGCAAGCUUGAGUGCAGGAGAGGAACGCGGAAUUCCAGGUGUAGCGGUGAAAUGCGUAGAUAUCUGGAGGAACACCGGUGGCGAAGGCGGAUCUCUGGGCCUGUCCUGACGCUCAGGCGCGAAAGCUAGGGGAGCAAACAGG